rnacentral:rRNA from 1 species
AUUGAACGCUGGCGGCAUGCCUUACACAUGCAAGUCGAACGGCAGCACGGGAGCAAUCCUGGUGGCGAGUGGCGAACGGGUGAGUAAUAUAUCGGAACGUGCCCAGUCGUGGGGAUAACGUAGCGAAAGCUACGCUAAUACCGCAUACGAUCUAUGGAUGAAAGCGGGGGAUCGCAAGACCUCGCGCGAUUGGAGCGGCCGAUAUCAGAUUAGGUAGUUGGUGAGGUAAAGGGCUCACCAAGCCGACGAUCUGUAGCUGGUCUGAGAGGACGACCAGCCACACUGGGACUGAGACACGGCCCAGACUCCUACGGGAGGCAGCAGUGGGGAAGUUUUGGACAAUGGGCGGCAAGCCUGAUCCAGCAAUGCCGCGUGCAGGAUGAAGGCCUCGGUUGG